AAAGGUGGAGGUGCGGUAACCUCCUAAGAUUACUGUUGGGAUAUCGCGCCCACCUUUAUU
rnacentral:pre_miRNA from 1 species